rnacentral:rRNA from 1 species
CCUACGGGCGGUAGCAGUGAGGAAUAUUGGUCAAUGGACGAGAGUCUGAACCAGCCAAGUAGCGUGAAGGAUGACUGCCCUAUGGGUUGUAAACUUCUUUUAUAUGGGAAUAAAAUGUUCCACGUGUGGGAUUUUGUAUGUACCAUAUGAAUAAGGAUCGGCGAACUCCGUGCCAGCAGCCGCGGUAAUACGGAGGAUCCGAGCGUUAUCCGGAUUUAUUGGGUUUAAAGGGAGCGUAGGUGGAUUGUUAAGUCAGUUGUGAAAGUUUGCGGCUCAACCGGAAAAUUGCAGUUGAAACUGGCAGUCUUGAGUACAGUAGAGGUGGGCGGAAUUCGUGGUGUAGCGGUGAAAUGCUUAGAUAUCACGAAGAACUCCGAUUGCGAAGGCAGUUCACUGGACUGCAACUGACACUGAGGCUCGAAAGUGUGGGUAUCAAACAGGAUUAGAUACCCGAGUAGUC